rnacentral:lncRNA from 1 species
CCUGAUUUCUGUUCUCUAUUUAGAGCCUUGGCAGCUCAGUAAUGGCAGCAUUCUCUUUUGCAGAACUACCACUCACCCGUUUCAUGUGAUGGCACCAUUUAAUAUGCAGUGGAGAAACAGGCUACCAAGACGAAGCUAAGAGGCCAGAACAACAUGAACCAUGGAAAAGCUUUUCAUCUAUAUCCUAUGAAGCACCUUGAGGCAAAUGAGGGAAGAAUAUGGAGACCCGUGAGCUGCUCAGGUGCUAUGGCUUCUCUGGGCUGAUCAGGGGAAGGGGACCCCCCGCCCAGUUGUAGCAGU